rnacentral:rRNA from 1 species
UGGGGAAUUUUGGACAAUGGGCGCAAGCCUGACCCAGCAAUGCCGCGUGUGUGAAGAAGGCCUUCUGGUUGUAAAGCACUUUUGUCCGGAAAGAAAACCCCGUGGUUAAUACCCUUGGGGGAUGACGGUAACUCAAGAAUAAGCACCGGCUAAAUACGUGCCAGCAGCCGCGGUAAUACGUAGGGUGCAAGCGUUAAUCGGAAUUACUGGGCGUAAAGCGUGCGCAGGCGGUUCGCUAAGACAGAUGUGAAAUCCCCGGGCUUAACCUAGGAACUGCAUUUGUGACUGGCGAGCUAGAGUAUGGCAGAGGGGGGUAGAAUUCCACGUGUAGCAGUGAAAUGCGUAGAGAUGUGGAGGAAUACCGAUGGCGAAGGCAGCCAUCUGGGCUAAUACUGACGCUCAUGCACGAAAGCGUGGGGAGCAAACAGG